rnacentral:rRNA from 1 species
GACGAACGCUGGCGGCGUGCUUAACACAUGCAAGUCGAACGAAGUGGCGAACGGGUGAGUAACGCGUAAUCAACCUGCCCUUCCGAGGGGUACAACAUUUGGAAACGACUGCUAAUACCGCAUACUGAAGGAGGGGAUUGCGUUUGAUUAGCUAUUUGGAGGGGUAACGGCCCACCAAGGCGAUGCUCAGUAGCCGGUCUGAGGGGAUGAUCUGCCACACUGGGACUGGGACACGGCCCAGACUCCUACGGGAGGCAGCAGUGGGGAAUCUUCGGCAAUGGACGAAAGUCUGACGGAGCAACGCCGCGUGAGUGACGACGGCCUUCGGGUUGUAAAGCUCUGUUCUUCGGGACGCGGUACCUGAUCAGAAAGCGACGGCUAACUACGUGCCAGCAGCCGCGGUAAUUC